UAGCUCUGUGGACAGUUUUGGAUUUGUUUACAUCUCACCCAACCGCUCACGGCAGAUGGCUGCACCUCUCUAAGCCUGGUUCUGCCGGAGGUUUCUUCCUGUUAAAAGGGAGUUUUCUGAACACACUCUACCACCAACAAGGACAGCUCACCAGUGGGAACUGAUAGAUAAGACUGCUGAUGUGCUCUCAUCCAUUGAAGAGCUGACCAGAAACGUGAACAGAAAGACUGCACCUGAUGGGAUCCCUGCCAUAACAGAUGUGUUCUGUCCAGUGAAGGCAGUGGAGAAGCCCUACACUGAUCUUGAAACUGUGCCACGCUAGUAGAGACCGGCUACAAGGAUGGGCAGCUGUUUUCGCAAAGUCAG